rnacentral:rRNA from 1 species
CAAUAGCGUAUAUUAAAGUUGUUGCAGUUAGAACGCUCGUAGUCGGAUUUCGGGGCGGGCCGACCGGUCUGCCGAUGGGUACGCACUGGCCGGCGCGUCCUUCCUUCCGGAGACCGUGCCUACUCUUAACUGAGCGGGGGCGGGAGACGGAUCUUUUACUUUGAAAAAAUCAGAGUGUUUCAAGCAGGCAGCCCGCUCUUGCAUGGAUUAGCAUGGGAUAAUGAAAUAGGACUUUGGUGCUAUUUUGUUGGUUUCGAACACCGAAGUAAUGAUUAACAGGGACAGUCAGGGGCACUCGUAUUCCGCCGAGAGAGGUGAAAUUCUCAGACCAGCGGAAGACGAACUACUGCGAAAGCAUUUGCCAGGGAUGUUUNCACUGA